rnacentral:rRNA from 1 species
UCUAGGGGUAGCUCUCAUCUUGUUGUGAAAUAUGGAUGGUCUGAUACACGUGACCUUGAUUCUCCGCAUCCCUUUGAGUCCAACGUUUGGCAUGAUAUCACCAAGGGGCUAGAAUUCUUCCGAUCCAUAACUAAGGUGGAUAUUGGUAAUGGUACGACAACCGUUUUCUGGCUAGAUCUAUGGUUUAAAUGCUCCACUGAAAACCUUGCAACAAUUUUCCCUGCACUUUUCUCUCAUACUCUCAGACCCGCGGCCACUGUCACACGGGUGCUAGGCUACCCUACUUUGAACCUUGACCUGGCUCCUCGCCUUACUCAUGCCACCGAACUCGAAUUGGAAAACCGUCGCACUAUGCUUGCAUCUGUUUCCUUGAAUUUGCAGGUAAUGGACAAACGAAUGGGACGUUUUGAUGGCAAGCCUAUGACUUGCAACUCGGCUUACAAGGUUGUUUGGAUCAACAAGCCAAUUGACCCCUUGGCAACGGCAAUUUGGAAGAACUAUGCACCCAAUAAAUGCAUAAUUUUUCUUUGGCUUGCACACAAAAACCGGCUAUUCACCAACGAAAGACGAUUCAAAAGGGGGUUAACAAACUCCGACUGCUGCCCGUUCUGCCCGGAUACAGAAUCAAUCACUCACCUCCUCCUCCAAUGCCACCAGCUAUGUCCGUUUUAG